GUGCACAUAGUGUAUCUCUUUUCUUUACUAUUAAUCGGUAUUGGAAUAAGGGCUGGGAAAGACCGGUGCCAGCCGCCGCGGUAAUACCGGCAGCUCGAGUGGUCGUCACUUUUAUUGGGCCUAAAACGUCCGUAGCCGGUUUGGUAAAUCUGUGGGUAAAUCAACUAGCUUAACUAGUUGAAUUCUGCAGAGACUGCCAGACUAGGAACCGGGAGAGGUGUGGGGUACUCAAGGGGUAGGGGUAAAAUCCUGUCAUCCUUUGAGGACCACCAGUUGCGAAGGCGCCACACUAGAACGGAUUCGACGGUCAGGGACGAAGCCUAGGGGCACGAACCGGAUUAGAUACCCGGGUAGUCCUAGGUGUAAACGCUGUGAACUUGGUGUCGGGAGUCCGCAAUGGGCCCCCGGUGCCGGAGUGAAGAUGUUAAGUUCACUGCCUGGGGAGUACGGUCGCA
rnacentral:rRNA from 1 species